rnacentral:rRNA from 1 species
UACGUAGGUGGCGAGCGUUAUCCGGAAUUACUGGGCGUAAAGCGCACGCAGGCGGUCUGUCAAGUCUGACGUGAAAGCUCCUGGCUUAACUGGGAGAGGUCGUUGGAAACUGAUGGGCUUGAGGCAAUGAGAGGGGUGUGGAAUUCCCGGUGUAGUGGUGGAAUGCGUAGAUAUCGGGGGGAACACCAGUGGCGAAAGCGGCACCCUGGCAUUGGCCUGACGCUCAUGUGCGAAAGCGUGGGGAGCGAAC